UAAAACGUAGGAGGCAAGCGUUAUCCGGAUUUAUUGGGCGUAAAGCGCGUGCAGGCUGUUUGGAAAGUUGGAUGUGAAAGCUCCUGGCUUAACUGGGAGAGGUCGUUCAAAACUACCAAACUAGAGAAUGGGAGAGGGAAGUGGAAUUCCGGGUGUAGUGGUGAAAUGCGUAGAUAUCCGGAGGAACACCAGUGGCGAAAGCGGCUUCCUGGACCAUUUCUGACGCUUAGACGCGAAAGCUAGGGGAGCGAACGGG
rnacentral:rRNA from 1 species